rnacentral:rRNA from 1 species
CCUACGGGUGGCAGCAGUGGGGAAUCUUGCACAAUGGGCGAAAGCCUGAUGCAGCGACGCCGCGUGGGCGAAGAAGGCCUUUGGGCCGUAAAGCCCUGUCGGGAGGGAAGAAGGAAGCGACGGUACCUCCCAAGGAAGCCCCGGCUAACUACGUGCCAGCAGCCGCGGUAACACGUAGGGGGCGAGCGUUAUCCGGAAUCAUUGGGCGUAAAGGGUGCGUAGGCGGCCUUUUAAGCGCGGGGUCUAAGGCGGUGGCCCAACCACCGUUCGCCCCGCGAACUGGAGGGCUAGAGUGUCGGAGAGGGAAGCGGAAUUCCUAGUGUAGCGGUGAAAUGCGUAGAUAUUAGGAGGAACACCAGUGGCGAAGGCGGCUUCCUGGACGAAGACUGACGCUGAGGCACGAAAGCGUGGGGAGCGAACAGGAUUAGAUACCCCGGUAGUC